UUCCAGCUCCAAUAGCGUAUAUUAAAGUUGUUGCGGUUAAAAAGCUCGUAGUUGGAUUUCUGGAUUGGGCGGCUGGCCUUGCGCGCAAGCGUUCGUGUCGGCUUCGUUUCGGUCCAUCCUCAGGGGGACUUGCGCUGGCAUUAACGUGUCGGUGUUGGGACGCCUGUCGUUUACUGUGAACAAAUUAGAGUGUUCAAAGCAAGGUGUACUUGAAUACAUUAGCAUGGAAUAAUAAGAUAGGACUUUGGUGGUUCUUUUUGAUAUUUUGUUGGUUUGCACGCCAAAGUAAUGAUUAAUAGGAGCAGUUGGGGGUAUUCGUAUUCAAUUGUCAGAGGUGAAAUUCUUGGAUUUAUAGAAGACGAACUACUGCGAAAGCAUUUACCAAGGAUGUUUUCAUUG
rnacentral:rRNA from 1 species